GGGAAUAUGCUCAGUGGUAGAGCACCUAUCUAACACAUACAAGGCCCUGGGUUCAAUCCCAGUCCCA
rfam:Heterocephalus glaber contig78070, whole genome shotgun sequence.